rnacentral:rRNA from 1 species
GUACCGAGCUCGGAUCCACUAGUAACGGCCGCCAGUGUGCUGGAAUUCGGCUUAGAGUUUGAUCCUGGCUCAGGAUGAACGCUAGCGGCAGGCCUAACACAUGCAAGUCGAGGGGUAAUUUUCCCGAGCAAUCGGGAAGAACGACCGGCGCACGGGUGAGUAACGCGUAUGCAACCUACCUUUAACCGGGGAAUAGCCCGAAGAAAUUCGGAUUAAUAUCCCAUAAUAUUUUGGAAUCGCGUGGUUUCAUAAUUAAAGUUCCAACGGUUAGAGAUGGGCAUGCGUGACAUUAGUUAGUUGGUGAGGUAACGGCUCACCAAGACGAUGAUGUCUAGGGGUUCUGAGAGGAUGGUCCCCCACACUGGUACUGAGACACGGACCAGACUCCUACGGGAGGCAGCAGUGAGGAAUAUUGGGCAAUGGACGCAAGUCUGACCCAGCCAUGUCGCGUGCAAGAUGACAGCCUUAUGGGUUGUAAACUGCUUUUAUACAGGAAGAAACCUCCCGAUGUAUCGGGUGGCUGACGGUACUGUAUGAAUAAGCAUCGGCUAACUCCGUGCCAGCAGCCGCGGUGAUACGGAGGAUGCAAGCGUUAUCCGGAUUUAUUGGGUUUAAAGGGUGCGUAGGCGGGAGAUUAAGUCAGUAGUGAAAUCCUGCAGCUUAACUGCAGAACUGCUAUUGAUACUGGUUUCCUUGAGUACAGUUGAGGUGGGCGGAAUGUGUAGUGUAGCGGUGAAAUGCUUAGAUAUUACACAGAACACCAAUUGCGUAGGCAGCUCACUAAACUGUUACUGACGCUGAGGCACGAAAGCGUGGGGAGCAAACAGGAUUAGAUACCCUGGUAGUCCACGCUGUAAACGAUGAUCACUCGUUGUUGGCGAUAUAUAGUCAGCGACUGAGCGAAAGCAUUAAGUGAUCCACCUGGGGAGUACGAUCGCAAGAUUGAAACUCAAAGGAAUUGACGGGGGCCCGCACAAGCGGAGGAACAUGUGGUUUAAUUCGAUGAUACGCGAGGAACCUUACCUGGGCUUAAAUGCAGUAUGACUUCCGCCGAAAGGUGGAUUCCCUUCGGGGCAGAUUGCAAGGUGCUGCAUGGUUGUCGUCAGCUCGUGCCGUGAGGUGUCGGGUUAAGUCCCAUAACGAGCGCAAC